UAAGAACCUCUUAGCCAUUUCUUACUUUGGCACCCUCUGCUUUGGCACCCUCUGCUCCUCCUUCAGAACAUUCGUUUCUUCUUCCUCUUUUUAUGCGUCUAAGCACUACCUCUCCUCGGCCAUGGCCCCAUUACUCCCACCUGCCGCUAGCAUCACACGAGCCUGUUCAGCCUGGCCUGCGGCCUACAACUACCAUCGUAGCACCAAAUUUCUCCUUGGAUCCCAGCCGUCUGCUUAAUGUUGCGGUGAUAGUCCGUGUUGAUAGCGGGGAGAUGACACUGAUGACCGUCUGCUCAAGCAGUGCGGCGCUGACAUCCCUUUGAAUGCCCCAUGGACACCAUAACCUUCAGCGCAAAUGCGGCAUCACCAUCGCCUCCGAGACAUAUGAUGGCAUGAUUGUGGCUUAACAUUCACGGGAUACAGAUCUUGACAUAAGAGGGAAUUUUGCCUUGUGUUACCCAUUUUGUUGUUUCAAGAUGAAUGACAUUAGAUAUGUUUCCUUGUCACAGUUCAACCCAGUUCGGACUAAGGAACUUACUAAUGUGCAUGCCGUUUGCAAAGGCAAGAAUGUGAGACUAUGUCUGCCUAGCCUCGUAUGCAAUGGCUAAAUUUUGCAAUUUUUAUUAAUUGAUUCUAUUCUUAUGUUUAUGAGAUA